ACUCAAAUGAAUAGACGGGGACCCGCACAAGCGGUGGAGCGUGUUGUUUAAUACGACGAUAAGCGUAGAACCUCACCAAGGUUUGACAUCUCGGGAAGGACUCCGAAAGGAGACUGUGCCUUCGGGAACCCGAUGACAGGUGUUGCAUGGCCGUCGUCAGCUCGUGUCGUGAGAUGUAGGGUUAAGUCCCUCAACGAGCGCAACCCUUAUGGUUAGUUGAAUUUUUCUAGCCAGACUGCCCCGGUAACGGGGAGGAAGGAGGGGAUGAUGUCAGGUCAGUAUUGCCCUUACACCUUGGGCUACAAACACGCUACAAUGGCCGGUACAGAGGGCUGCCAAGUCGCGAGACGGAGCAAAUCUCAUCAAAGCCGGUCCCAGUUCGGAUAGCAGGCUGAAACUCGCCUGCUUGAAGCCGGAAUCGCUAGUAAUGGCAGGUCAGCACACUGCCGUGAAUACGUUCCCGGGUCUUGUACACACCGCCCGU
rnacentral:rRNA from 1 species